GCUGUUUUAGUAUAAGGGAGUAUAUUUAUUUUCCAAAUAAAAGGUAAAAGAUUUAAAGAGCA
rnacentral:tRNA from 1 species